rnacentral:rRNA from 1 species
AACGCGAAGAACCUUACCUACCCUUGACAUCUAUGGAAUUUGAUAGAGAUAUUGAAGUGCCGCAAGGAGCCAUAAGACAGGUGCUGCAUGGCUGUCGUCAGCUCGUGUUGUGAGAUGUUGGGUUAAGUCCCGUAACGAGCGCAACCCUUAUCCUUAGUUGCCAACACGUAAUGGUGGGGACUCUAAGGAGACUGCUGGUGAUGAACCGGAGGAAGGCGGGGACGACGUCAAGUCAUCAUGGCCUUUAUGGGUAGGGCUACACACGUGCUACAAUGGUCGGUACAAAGGGUUGCCAACCUGCAAAGGGGAGCCAAUCUCAAAAAGCCGAUCGUAGUCCGGAUUGAAGUCUGCAACUCGACUUCAUGAAGUCGGAAUCGCUAGUAAUCGCGAAUCAGAAUGUCGCGGUGAAUACGUUCCCGGGCCUUGUACACACCGGAGUGC